rnacentral:lncRNA from 10 species
UUUUGAGAUGAAGUCUCGUUCUUGUCCCCCAGGCUGGAGUGCAAUGGCAUGAUCUCAGCUCACUGCAACCUCUGCCUCCCGGGUUCAAGCAAUUCUCCUGUCUCAGCCUCCUGAGUAGCUGGAUUACAGAGUCUUUUCUAAGGCACCAACUACUUCCUUCAAGCAGCAGCCAGAGAUCUUUGCUUAAUGGCUGAAACACAGAGGAGAGACCCAGAGAGAAGGAGAAGGCCGCAUGAAGAUGGAGCAGAGACUGGAGUUAUUCAGCCAAGUCAAGGAAUGCCUGGAGCACCAGAAGCCGGAAGAGGCAAGGAAGGAUCCUCCCUUAGAGCAUUUGGAAGAGUGUGGCCCUGCCAACACCUUGACUUCAAACUUCUGGCCUCCAUAACUAUGAAAUAAAUUCUUGUUGUUUUAAGCCAC